UGCCCAGCAACUCCUAUCCCUACCUCCUCGCGGUACCGACUGGAAACUAUGAGCAACCUUAAAGAUGAUCGG
rfam:Aedes albopictus isolate Foshan contig97580, whole genome shotgun sequence.